GCUCAACCAUUGCUCUGUUUUCUGAAAAGCUCCUCAUCCACAAGGACCUAUUUAAUUAUUUCUUUGUUUUUAUGGGUCUGUCUACAGUCAUUUACUUUUCCUUCACAGUCGGUUACCCAAGGUAAUUCUAACUCUAAUGAUGCUGGGAUGUUUUGCUACAGACGUUGGAGGACAGUUUAGAGACCCUGCUGAAAGCAUUUUCCUCUUGCUAAUGCUAAAACUCCCCUCCUCUGGGCCUCCUCAGUCCCAUUAUGAAAUAUUUCUAGUGCCCUGUCAAACCUAGCAUUGGACCCCUGCCCUUCUACACUCGUGCCAUGGCCAGAAGUCUCAUUCCAGCUCAAGCCUGGGCCCCUGUCUCACCUCAUCUGCCUGUCUCCAGCCUUGUUCACAUCAUUUCCCAGACACUGUAGAAGUCCAUGCUGCUUUUAAUGGAUUAUUGCAGUUGAAAGUUUGAUGGUGAAGAAAAAACGAAAUACUGCACAGUUAGGGAUGAUGCAACAUGAAAGUAUAAGAGAAUUUUGUCCUCAGUUCUACAAUGAAAUAUGCCUGCUGUCCUGCUCAGCUGUGUUCAGCAUAUAUUAUAGUGCACAGAAGCAUCUGCAGUCUGAUAGCAGCCAGUGGACUCCUGCAGUUUGUUAUGGCUUUCUCUGUUUUCUGCUGUGGACAUCACAGCCAUGAAGAAGAAAUAAUGGAUGUCCAGAGAAAAAUAGACUAAUACACCAUACACGUAAUUUUUCCUUUUCUGACCUGCAUUUUGAUGGAAUUUCUGGUGAAAAUAUAAGCUAUGAAUGAAAUCCUUGCCAGAGGUUUUGCAAACACAGCAACAAUAUAUAAGAUAAAAUAGUCCCAUGGAGAUCAGUCUCGUCUCCUUAUCUGUCUCAAACACUGUAGUUCCUUACUAAUGAAAAUAUAAAGUGGAUUUCUGCAUGGAGGCAGAGUGAGCAGGUGGAAGUCAGUCCUCUAUGCUUCAGGGCUUUGCUGGUACAACAGUAGCAAAAGUCAACCCUAUACUGUAAGUUUGUCUAAAUUAACUCAUAGUCUAGUAAUGUAUAUUU